rnacentral:rRNA from 1 species
GUUUAAUCGGAAUUUCUUGGGCGUAAAGCGCACGCAGGCCGUUCUGUCCAAGUCGGAUGUGAAAUUCCCCGGGCUCAACUGGGAACUGCAUUCGACACUGGCAGGCUAGAGUCUUGUAGAGGGGGGUAGAAUUUCAGGUGUAGCGGUGAAAUGCGUAGAGAUCUGGAGGAAUAACGGUGGCGAAAGGCGGCCCCCUGGACAAAGACUGACGCUCAGGUGCGAAAGCGUGGGGAGCAAACAGGAUUAGAUACCCUGGUAGUCCACGCCGUAAACGAUGUCGAUUUUGGAGGUUGUGCCCUUGAGGCGUGGCUUUCCGGAGCUAACGCGUUAAAUCGACCGCCUGGGGAGUACGGCCGCAAGGUUAAAACUCAAAUGAAUUGACGGGGGCCCGCACAAGCGGUGGAGCAUGUGGUUUAAUUCGAUGCAACGCGAAGAACCUUACCCUGGUCUUGACAUCCACAGAACUUUCCAGAGAUGGAUUGGUGCCUUCGGGAACUGUGAGACAGGUGCUGCAUGGCUGUCGUCAGCUCGUGUUGUGAAAUGUUGGGUUAAGUCCCGCAACGAGCGCAACCCUUAUCCUUUGUUGCCAGCGGUUAGGCCGGGAACUCAAAGGAGACUGCCAGUGAUAAACUGGAGGAAGGUGGGGAUGACGUCAAGUCAUCAUGGCCCUUACGACCAGGGCUACACACGUGCUACAAUGGCAUAUACAAAGAGAAGCGACCUCGCGAGAGCAAGCGGACCUCAUAAAGUAUGUCGUAGUCCGGAUUGGAGUCUGCAACUCGACUCCAUGAAGUCGGAAUCGCUAGUAAUCGUAGAUCAGAAUGCUACGGUGAAUACGUUCCCGGGCCUUGUACACACCGCCCGUCACACCAUGGGAGUGGGUUGCAAAAGAAGUAGGUAGCUUAUCCUCGCGAGG